rnacentral:rRNA from 1 species
CACGUAGGGCGCAAGCGUUUGUCCGGAAUUAUUGGGCGUAAAGAGCUCGUAGGCGGUCUGUUGCGUCUGCUGUGAAAACCCGGGGCUUAACCCCUGGCUUGCAGUGGAUACGGACAGACUAGAGGUAGGUAGGGGAGAAUGGAAUUCCCGGUGUAGCGGUGAAAUGCGCAGAUAUCAGGAGGAACACCGAUGGCGAAGGCAGGUCUCUGGGCAUUAACUGACGCUGAGGAGCGAAAGCAUGGGGAGCGAACAGG